rnacentral:rRNA from 1 species
CCCAGCUUGCUGGGGUGGAUUAGUGGCGAACGGGUGAGUAACACGUGAGUAACCUGCCCUUAACUCUGGGAUAAGCCUGGGAAACUGGGUCUAAUACCGGAUAGGAGCGCCUACCGCAUGGUGGGUGUUGGAAAGAUUUAUCGGUUUUGGAUGGACUCGCGGCCUAUCAGCUUGUUGGUGAGGUAAUGGCUCACCAAGGCGACGACGGGUAGCCGGCCUGAGAGGGUGACCGGCCACACUGGGACUGAGACACGGCCCAGACUCCUACGGGAGGCAGCAGUGGGGAAUAUUGCACAAUGGGCGCAAGCCUGAUGCAGCGACGCCGCGUGAGGGAUGACGGCCUUCGGGUUGUAAACCUCUUUCAGUAGGGAAGAAGCGAAAGUGACGGUACCUGCAGAAGAAGCACCGGCUAACUACGUGCCAGCAGCCGCGGUAAUACGUAGGGUGCGAGCGUUAUCCGGAAUUAUUGGGCGUAAAGAGCUCGUAGGCGGUUUGUCGCGUCUGUCGUGAAAGUCCGGGGCUUAACCCCGGAUCUGCGGUGGGUACGGGCAGACUAGAGUGCAGUAGGGGAGACUGGAAUUCCUGGUGUAGCGGUGGAAUGCGCAGAUAUCA